UUCAGCAUGGCUAUUCAACCUCCUUAACAAGUGGGCCAAAAAGGAAAACCGCUGGUGGUUCAUGGGCCACACAUACAAAACUUAUAAUGUCAAUUAAUCGCUACAAAUAAAUCGUACUUAAAGUAGUGUUAACUUCAUAUAUAUAGUACUGCUAAAUGGAUUAAACUUGUAAGACGCAUUCCUUUCUUUUUCACUUCUAAAUGCAUCAUUAUAACAAUUUUUGACCUUACAUAUUUUGGACACAUAUUUUUAAUAUCAAUUUUUGUUCUUACAUAUUUCUGACACAUUUGUAAUAACAAUUUUUGUUCUUACAUAUUUUUUGACACAUUGGAAUAACUUUUUUUGUUCUUGCAUUUUUUGACACAUUUAUAAUAACAAUUGUUGUUCUUACAUAUUUUGGACACAUUUUUAUGAUUCAAAAAUGUUGUUGGAAUCAUCACAAUCUAGAACUACUGUGCAUAUGAGACAUUUUGAGCCUGUUAUAUUGAGCCUAUAUAUAUUAGAAAUUGCAUUGCCUUGAUUUUGUUAUUUCAGCAUAGUUUGGUUCAUACGUUGUAAGGCCAAUCCUGAGACACUCAUGCAGCUUCUCAAUGGUCAUGGAGCAACGUACCCUUGUUUUGAUGGCAUUCAUAUGAGAAAACUGGCAGCAAACGAGCCGUGAUUUGAGUUGUAGUGCCUCUUCACGUUGUAUUCCUUCAUCAUGGAAAUGGCUUUGUUGCACACUAAACACAUCGGUUUACUACUUGUGGCGGAUGGCAAAGUAAAUAAAUAUUUUUCAGUCCAUUCGCUUUUGAAUAGGCGAUUUUCAACAUCAACCUUACGUUUUUUGGCUUGGAAAGAGACAUCUUGGAGCUGUUGUAGCCUAGCUAAAGUGAGUUUCUCCGUGGUCCGCAAGCAUAAAAUGCAACGUGAGCUUGAUUGAGGCAAUGGCAGGUGCAGACAGAGCGGGUGUAAUCCUGUUGCCGUAGCAUUCUCUGCGUUUAUUCGCUGGUCAUAUAUAUUACACACGCGAACCUGAUUUGCAGGCAACAAUUUUCCUAAUUUAUUUUUAUUUUUUUAAAAAACUUUUUUUAGGUCUGCAUCUGGGCUCCAAACGAAAACCGAAAACGAACAGAAUUUUACGAGGAACGGAAACGAAAACCAAAUGGUCUUCAACUGUUCCGAACAGAAACGUUAUUCUGAAAUCCCCAAAACCGGUUAAUAACGUGUUUUUUUUCGUUCUCUAUAUAGCCUAUACAAUUUCCCAAAAGCAUAGCCUAUUUCAUGAAAAAAAAUUGUUUUCCUGUUGCCGCGUUCACUUCGCCUCCCGCUAAGCCCAGUUGUCACAAAUUCCCACCACCACCCUGGCGAGAGGCCGUAUGCCAUUUCAGUUGCGAUCUUCAAUAGGCCUUACUUGCACAGUGACAUUUAUUUGGAAAUUAUGUUUGCAAUGUAGGCCUGUGAAGAUAAUAUAUUGUGCCUGCCCAGUUUUUGCUGUUUUGGAAAUGUGACAGGUCCUGAAGCCAGCAACGAAAGAGCUACUUUUGCUGGACUCGCUUAGACCAGAUGGCUUUGGCGACAGUUGUUACCAUAACAUAUUUAGGUUUCGUAACAUAAGAACAAUCAGCCCUGUUCUGUGGCUUGUUCAGUACUGGAAUUCUACAGAAUUCAUAGUAUUCCAAUAAUGCAGUAACACAGCUCAUUGGCCAGGUUUGUCAAAUGAAAAAAAAAAUUUGCUUUAUAGUAUCCGUGUGUUUUUGUAUUAUUUGAAACUAUCAAAUUAACAGAUCUUUGCCUUUCACAGAAUGCACUCAAAUGGCUGCAUUAUGUGGAUGUACUGACCUCAGUACACCAAAAUGGAGCACAGAUGCUCCAUUUUGGUGCUGAGGUCAGUAUUAUGUAGAGACAAAUACAUGAACAAAUAGACAAAUUGUGAAGUACUGAUUUCUAACUGAAAAUGACCAUUCCUCAACUUCAAUAUUCUAUCAUUUAUUUUAGCGAGACAUGGCACACAUCAGGACAUGAUGGUGCAUUAAUUUGAUGGAACGGUUCCAGAUUGAUGGGUAAGACAACUUUAAAUGUAACUUCCUACACAACAUUAAUUAUACAUUAGUUAACCUUUUUUUUCUGUCACUGUCACUCGAAAGCCACCGACAGAGGUUUGCAUACUGGACAAAUGAGGCCACAGCAUUGCUCUAAGGAUCACUGCAGCCGAUCUACAGGAUCCCGAAGACCAGAAAAAGGGAUCAUGAGGUUCAGUUUGAAAAGGCCGACAGGUGCUUCAUAUUGGAGAUGCCAACAUCUGUGCUUGAUGAAAUCCUCAAAGAGGUGGUGCUCCAGGAAGGAGAUAAUGUCUACCUGACAUUGGCUCUGGUGUGUACCACAUUCAGAGACAUUGUGUCCACCAAUUAUUUGAGAAGACGGGCACAUUUUCAGUGGCUUGACAGUGUUGCUACCUGGAGUAGGUUUUCUGCAAUGUACAAAAAAGCUUUCUGCACCAUUUACACCAUUGACACCUGCCUUGGAUGUGGACGAAUAUAUAAAAACUGCACACCAGGUAUACAUCUUAUA